GGGGCACGGUGCCAGGCAGGACCAGGCUGCUGGGGCAGGAGGCACAGGGUGGCCUGGUUGUGGGGAGUCCCUUUGGCGUGGACUGAGGCGCCCGGGUCGAGUGCUCAGUUUCAGGAGGGUUUUUGGGCUUCCUCCUUCACGUGGCUGAAGCACAGCCAUGGAGAGGGAAGCCUCUCACAACCUCCUGGGGGUACCUGCAACAGGUGAUGUGAGCAGAGACCUUGGCUUGUGCUGCCUCAGAAUUCUGGCAUGUAAAUAAGUUGUCACUUAACAACAGUGGGAACUGCAACAUUUGGAGUUCUGGGAAAAUCCUCUGCACCCCAAGUAGGCACUGUAGUUAUGUAAAACACACGUAAGAUAUUAAUUCCCUCCAGGAGAUUGUAUUUUGUGUUUUAUGUAUUUUGAGUUUCCCAGGCAGUGGGGAGCAAGAGGGCAUUUGGUUCUGCAAGAUGUUUAACCAGAUCUGAAAACCUCACCAUGGAAGUUUAGGAAGAGGCGAUGUCCCACUGCAGCCAGGUGGAAGGAAGAGCCAGGUGUAGAUCUCCUGUGUUCUAAUGGUACAUUCAGACUGAAAAAUAGCCUCAUCUAAAUACUAAUAUUCAAAUAACAGUCACCACAAAUCCAUUUGUUCCUGCCACAGACUUCAGAAAAAUUGCUGCUUGUCUUCCCUCCCCCACGAGGCUGAAUCCCAGCACCCCAGAUUGUCGUGACUGCCUGGGAUUGGUGACAUCUCCAGUGAAAUGUGUUGGAGCAUCAAAACAGAGUGGGAGAAGCACAGCCUGGCUGUGGAGCCAGAAAUAGGAAUCCCCCAGCACAUCUGAUUCCAGCCAUAUGACCCAACACCUCAGCUGACCCUUUCAGGUAACACACAGAAAGGGCCAGGCUGUGGUGCUGCUGGUUCCUGCCAUGGGCAAAGUUUUCCUCUUGCUUUGAAUUCUCUCAGACCGCUGCCGUCUCACUUCCCCUGGCACAGGAGAAAAUGUGAUGGUGUUUACAGAGCAGAAGCACUGGGACUCAGGAGAUGUGAAAGGUGGCUCUGCUGGCUCUACCUUCAACACCUCUCCAUGGUUCUGACUUCCUGUCAGGAUAACCUGGACUAAAAUCCCUCUGUGCUUCUCCUGUGCGAUCCUACGGUAUCUAACACAACCUCAGACUCUGUCAACGGGGCACUCCAGGAGCUCCACCUUCCUCUCAGCCAUCUCAGGGAACUCAGCUCAGUGUUUGGAAGCUCUGCCUCCAUUUAUGACCUUCCCUGAUUCCAGUGAGGAGCUGGAACUGCUGUUGACCUCAGGAGUGACAGAAGUAUAUGCUGGGGUUGGAGGGUUUCUGGCAUAUGACCUGCUAACCUAGAAUUUGCUUGGCAAAGUCCAGAGGAUGACUUUUAACCUCAGAGCAGUUUGCAAAACCACAUCUGUGACCAAUAAAUGUGAAAAAUAAAUGAAAAAAUAAAUCUAGCCCCUAUUGAAGGAUGAAAGACAGCACACCUUGCUGGGCACUGGUGCUGGAAUCAGGAUGGAGAUUGGGAAUAAUCGGACAGGCCAUGUGCCAGAUGCUGUCCAUGAAUGGAGCCAAUGCCUCACGCAAGGGAGGAAGCACAGCAGGUUAAAGUGAAGGUAUCUCAUAGCUCUAAGUCUUAAACUUAACGAGCCACAUCUUUAUUUGUGCUGCAGCCCCUUCUUAUCCAAAAUUGCCUUUACCAGCUGCCAGAGGAUGCCUGGGAACGGAAAAUUCUCUGGAUAACAAUAAAUUGGUGUAACGAUUGAGUGUCACCUCACAUCCUGCUAAGCAAUAGAGAAAUCACGAUGAGAAAAAUAGGCACGACCAGAGUGGCACUGAACAGUGCAAUCCUAAUUCCAUCACCCUUCUUGUGGGCGACAGAUAACCCAGUGCAAUUUACAGCCGCUCUGAAGCGGCUCCAAGUCUCAGCAGGAGUCGGGAAAGCUCACUGUAGCCUCGGGACUGAGAAGUCACAAAGAUCAGGCAAAUUGUUGUUCCAUAACCUUGCCUCUGCACCAAAACCAGGGGGCUGGUUUGGAAUGGGAAGCACUCCAAGCAAAACACAAAAUUUUAAUCACCGAAAUGAAGGUCCUCCUCUGGCUCCCUCUCUGGAGAAUAGUCUGUCUCUGAUCAUCGUGCACAGACUCUCAAAGAAGGUAAAUUUUGGAUUUAAAUCUCUACGUCAGCAUGUGAAUGACAGCGUUAAAUCUUGGCUGUAAGGCUGAGAUAUCUCCAAGAGGAGAAAAACACUUUUUCCACUUAAGUGGCUGAGGUAGAGGAGGUAAAUAUAUUGUCUCCCACUAUUAAAGGGUGAGGAAAUCAUUUAUACAUGUGUAUUACACCUUUGCACCUAACAUUGGAGUUAUUUUUUAUAUUCAAGAGACUAAAAGUUUAGAAAUACCAACAUUAAGGUGGCCUAUGCAACUGUAAUUUGUCCCUUCCAUGCAUUUGCAUUAUGAUACAGUAUUUAAUUCUAAUUAGAUCACACGUUGCUCUUUCAACAGGUUCCUGGCCUCACUCAUUGUACAGAAUAGACUGUGCUCACUAAGUAAUAAUUUUAUUUUCUCCUCGCU